CGCGUAGGCGGAUGGUACAGUCAGGCGUGAAAUUCCUGGGCUCAACCUGGGGGCUGCGUUUGAUACGUAUUGUCUGGAGUUCGGAAGAGGGUCGUGGAAUUCCCAGUGUAGAGGUGAAAUUCGUAGAUAUUGGGAAGAACACCGGUGGCGAAGGCGGCGACCUGGUCCGAUACUGACGCUGAGGCGCGAAAGCGUGGGGAGCAAACAGGAUUAGAUACCCUGGUAGUCCACGCCGUAAACGAUGUGUGCUGGAUGUUGGGUGACAUAGUCAUUCAGUGUCGUAGCUAACGCGAUAAGCACACCGCCUGGGGAGUACGGCCGCAAGGUUGAA
rnacentral:rRNA from 1 species